GACAGAGGUGCCAAGCGUUAGGCGGAAUCACUGGGCUUAAAGCGUGUGUAGGCGGAUAUCUAAGUCCCUUGUGAAAUCCCACGGCUCAACCGUGGAACUGCUUGGUAUACUGGGUGUCUUGAGCCAUCUAGGGGCUACCGGAACAAAUGGUGGAGCGGUGAAAUGCGUAGAUAUCAUUUGGAACGCCAAUGGUGAAAACAGCUCGCUGGGGCUGCGCUGACGCUGAGACACGAAAGCCAGGGGAGCGAACGGG
rnacentral:rRNA from 1 species